AACGCACAUUGCGCCUCCCUCAACGGGGAGGCAUGCCUGUCUGAGCGUCUCUUAACAAAUCCAUGGAGGUCUCUCUGACCUUCGUGUUGGGCCUCGCCUGUCCAUGGGCGUCGCCUCAAAGCGAUCGGCGCCAAGUGUCGAGUGGACGAGUCCCAUUAGGGCGUUCCUUCGGCUCAUGCCUCAUUUGUCUUGUAACAUCGGACCUCAGAUCAGGUAGGAACACCGCCUGAACUUAA
rnacentral:misc_RNA from 1 species